rnacentral:lncRNA from 1 species
AUCCUAAAAACAAAAAAAAUUUUAAGAUUCUUCGUCACAUCAAAUUUUACGGUAUAUACAUAAAGUAUUAAAUAUAGAUAAAAACAAAAACUAGUUGUACAAUUUGUCUGUAAAUCACGAGACAGAUUUUUAAGCCUAGUUACUCUGUAAUUGGACAAUAUUUGUCAAAUAAAAAUAAAAGUAAUACAGUGUCAAAAUCCAAAAACUUUUGGAUCUAAACAAGGCUUAGCCCCCCCCCCCAAAUAAUUAAUAAUAACUCACACCACUCACCAGCAAUAAAUGUCUCUAUUUCAUCUUCAUUUGCCAUAUAUAUAUAAUCAUCCCUCCAUCCAAGAACAACAUAUAGCUUGUUUUGUUGCAUAAUCAUCCUGGCCUCUUUUCAAGAAUGUAACUAGGCCUUGUUUAGUUCACCCCAAAAACCAAAAUCUUUUCAAGAUUCUCUGUCACAUCAAAUCUUACGCCACAUGCAUAGAGUAUUAAAUAUAGACGAAAAUAAAAACUAAUUGCACAGUUUAACUGUAAAUCACAAGAUGAAUCUUUUAAACCUAGUUACUCUAUGAUUGGAUAAUGUUUGUCAAAUAAAAACGAAAGUGCCCUAGUCAGUUUAAUUUAGAAGGGAGAAUAUAACUAGUUUUAGACUUUCUCGGAGAUCAAGGAGAGCGAUAAUGAUACUCAAUUUAAUUUUGCAAACACGCCCGUGCAUGCACCGGAAGGUGUUCAUUGCCAUGGACCCAUAGUAGUUACUUUCGUGUGUAUAUUUCUAGAUUUAAGGUGUCACUACGGGACAUCCAUGGCAAAGGCCUAAAAACACUCGGCAAAGACCGCACGGCAAAAUUUUAGCCGGCAAAGCGGUCUUUGCCGAGUGCUAUUUUUCGGGCACUUGGCAAAGGCUUUGCGAGUGUCGACAUUCGGCAAAGAUAAAAACGAAAAAAAUCCAAAAAAAUCUGAAAUAAAAGAGAAAAAUAUCUUUUUUUUUUGCAGGAGGCCAGCGCCCACCGGUCUCUUCUUGCUAGCCAAGUUCUAGAAUUUUUUGCAUCCUUUUGCAUCUUUGCAGUC